rnacentral:rRNA from 1 species
GAGUUUGAUCGUGGCUCAGGAUGAACGCUGGCGGCGUGCCUAAUACAUGCGAGUCGAGCGAACAGACGAGGAGCUUGCUCCUCUGACGUUAGCGGCGGACGGGUGAGUAACACGUGGAUAACCUACCUAUAAGACUGGGAUAACUUCGGGAAACCGGAGCUAAUACCGAAUGAUAUAUUGAACCGCAUGGUUCAAUAGUGAAAAACGGUUUUGCUGUCACUUAUAGAUGGAUCCGCGCCGCAUUAGCUAGUUGGUAGGGUAACGGCUUACCAAGGCGACGAUGCGUAGCCGACCUGAGAGGGUGAUCGGCCACACUGGAACUGAGACACGGUCCAGGACUCCUACGGGAGGCAGCAGUAGGGAAUCUUCCGCAAUGGGCAAAGCCUGACGGAGCAACGCCGCGUGAGUGAUGAAGGUCUUCGGAUCGUAAAACUCUGUUAUUA